ensembl:miRNA
GUAUGUGUGUGUGUGUGUGUGUGUGUGUGUGUGUGUGUGUGUGUGUGUGUAUAUAUAUACACAUAAUAUAUACAUAUAUACAUA